UUCGGGUCGUAAACCCCUGUCGAAUGGGACGAAAAGCCCGCGAUUUAACAAAACGCGGGACUGACGGUACCGUUAAAGGGAAGCCACGCUAACUCUGUGCCAGCAGCCGCGGUAAUACAGAGGUGGCAAGCGUUGUUCGGAAUUACUGGGCGUAAAAGGGCGCGUAGGCGGCCUUCUAAGUCAGACGUGAAAUCCCCCGGCUUAACCUGGGAACUGCGUCUGAUACUGGGAGGCUUGAGUAUGGGAGAGGGAUGUAGAAUUCCAGGUGUAGCGGUGAAAUGCGUAGAUAUCUGGAGGAAUACCGGUGGCGAAGGCGGCAUCCUGGACCAUAACUGACGCUGAGGCGCGAAAGCUAGGGGAGCAAACGGGAUUAGAUACCCUGGUAGUCCACGCCGUAAACGUUGGGCGCUAGGUGUGGGGCUCAUUCCACGAGUUCCGUGCCGCAGCUAACGCAUUAAGCGCCCCGCCUGGGGAGUACGGCCGCAAGGCUAAAACUCAAAGGAAUUGACGGGGGCCCGCACAAGCGGCGGAGCAUGUUGCUUAAUUCGAUGCAACGCGAAGAACCUUACCUAGGCUUGACAUGCACGGAAAUCUCCCAGAGAUGGGGGGUCCGUAAGGGCCGUGCACAGGUGGUGCAUGGUUGUCGUCAGCUCGCGUCGUGAGAUGUUGGGUUAAGUCCCGCAACGAGCGCAACCCUCGUCCUAUGUUGCCAGCACGUGAUGGUGGGGACUCAUAGGAGACUGCCGGGGUCAACUCGGAGGAAGGUGGGGAUGACGUCAAAUCAUCAUGCCCCUUAUGUCUAGGGCUGCAAACAUGCUACAAUGGCCGGUACAAAGGGCUGCGAUACCGCGAGGUGGAGCGAAUCCCAAAAAGCCGGUCUCAGUUCGGAUUGGGGUCUGCAACUCGACCCCAUGAAGUUGGAGUCGCUAGUAAUCGCAGAUCAGCAACGCCGCGGUGAAUACGUUCCCGGG
rnacentral:rRNA from 1 species